ACUUUAUUGUGAUGAUUUAUGUUCUACUCAAUCACGACGGUCUACUGACUACUAACAAAUAUUAUUGUUAAUAUAAUGGAGAAAGAGUGGAACUCUGAAUUUAGUAUUGUUUAUUUUUCUUUCAAA
rnacentral:snRNA from 1 species